ensembl:lncRNA
UCUGCCUACUAGAAUUACUGGUAACAGGUGAAAAAUAACUUCUUUUCAGUAUGGGAAGGACACACUCGGUACUGCUGGGUUUGGAAAGAACCAGUCAAAGCAGUGUUGGCUUCCUGAAUCAAACAACACCACAGUACCUAUUUCUCCUGGGAGAGGUAGUGUUACAGCUCUUGGAUGUGACAGUGGUAUCUGAUUGUUCCCAGCUGCCGAUCCUUUGUCAGCAGAUUCCUACGCAUGGGGUCACUGAUAAAAAUGUUAAAUAAAACUGGCCCCAGUAUUGAACGCUUUGGAACACCACCAGUGACCAGCUACCAACUGGACUGAACUCUGUUCACCUUGAGAGCAGCAAUCCAGACAGUAUUUCACACAGUAAACUUCACGUCUGUCCAAGCUAUGAGCAGCCAGUUUCUCCACAAGAAUGCUGUUGGUGUUACUUUACUAAAAUCCAGUUCACAGAAAGCUGGGUCCCUGAUGUCAGCCACCUCCUGUGCCACCCUUCCAGACCUGAGAUGAAGGAGGCUGAAUAACA